rnacentral:rRNA from 1 species
AAAGGCUGCGGUAUUUUGACCGUACAAAGGUAGCAUAAUCAUUAGUUUUUUAAUUGAGAACUUGUAUGAAUGGUUUAACGAAAUAUUAGCUGUUUCAUAAAAAUUUCAAUAGAAAUUAAUUUUUUAGUUAAAAAGCUAAAAUAUAAUUAAAAGACGAGAAGACCCUAUAGAGUUUUAUAUUAAAAUUUUUAUAAUUUAUUUAUAAUAAUUUAAGUUUUAUUGACUUUUGUAUUUUGUUGGGGUGACAGUAAAAUUUAAUAACCUUUUAUUUAUUUUUAAACAAUGAUUUUUGGUUAAUUGAUCCUUUUUUAAUGAUUAAAAGAUUAAAUUACCUUAGGGAUAACAGCG